ACCCAAAGUCUUCUGCCUCUCUCAUUAUCUUUGAAGGGUGAGUAAUUACUAUUCAUGAGAUUAUUUAAGCUUUUGCUACAAGCUUGAAUAGACAAUGAACUUUGGAGACCCAUGAGCACAAGUAUAAGACCCAAAAUUACAUUCAUGUGAUCCCUUUCUUCUUAACUAGUAGGACUUUUAACCCAUCUUUUCAAAUGUUUCCUUCACACCACCCCAGAAGAAAUAUUCACAAUAAGUACCAGGCUUCCAUUAUCCACAAUUUUUGACAAAAAAAUUAAAUAGGAUGAGUUAUACUUGGAAUUAAGCUUGAAGAUGUUGGAAUUAGUUGAGGAGACUGGACAGUGGUGGUCUUUUGUAUGGAGACACAAGUUCUGUUUCUUCAGAGAAAGGAAGAUUAUUGAAGUACUAAUUUCCCAUAAAAGCUUAUUUAUUUCAUCUUUGAAAUGGAUAUGACCGCUCUAGAGAUUCCUUUGUAAAACACCCACAGGAGAGUAAUUGGAAUUUAUACAGCUUAAUGCUUUUGCUUUAUAUUGAUGAGCCUGUGUCCUUAAAACUUUAACUCCGACAUCACUCUUCCAAGUAAAACCAGCAGGUUCAUUUCUUAUUCUGAAAGAAUAUCCAGUUGUCUUUACGGAUUUUAUUUUUCUAGACUAAGUAAAAUUGCUCAUGACAGUUUGCCGCUUCAAUAAUUGGUUGAAUUCUUGGCAUCUAUAUCAGGGAAAUAUCUACCUCCAAUUUAGAGUCUCUGGAGAUGUAUUUAUAGGUUCUUAAGCAAAAACAACUAUGAGUACCUAGUCAUUUCAAAUGUGGAGCAUUGACUGCAUGUGAAAUAACUUAUGUCAGCUGUAGUGGACAGUGCACAGCGAAAAAGCUGCGACGGGGCAGAAAGAAAAACUCACAAUAACCCAGUGAUUCUGGACAUAUUAUUUAUCGUGUCAGGGGCAACCAGACAAUUGUAUAACAUUUCUAACAGAACAAAACAAACAGACAAAACACAAAAUUUUCAAGCUUGGUAGUUGAUUAAAUGUCCUUUGACCAGAAUCUGGCCACUUGGCCAUGGCAGUCUUCGACAAUAUAGAAAAAGUUCUCUUGUGCUUCACUGUCCAAUGGUCAUAAUUUUUACAAAAAAAAAUGUAAGUGUAUAUGUGCCUUCAAGUCUCAAUUUAUGGUGACCCCAUGAAUUUCACAGAGUUUUCUUAAGCACAGAAUACUCAGAAGUAGUUAUGCUACAGAAGCAGAACUGGAAGAGGUCUCAAGGGCCAUUGAGUCCAAUGCCAGAUCUCCAGCUAAAGCAUCUCCAGUAGGUCUGGUUUCCUUUUGAAGAUGUCCAAAGAAGGAGAUGCCACCAUCUUUCUUGGCAAUUGAUUAUAUUGCUCGAAUAGUUCGGUCAAGAAGUUUCUUCUGUUGUUCAGUUGAAACCUGCUUUUCUGUAACUUAAAACCAUUAGACCUGGUUCUUCUAUCUACAGAGAAAGGCCUACUCCUCCUCUCUAUGGGAGCCUCUGAGGUAUUUCAAAAGUACAAUCAGCAGGCUGAAUAUAUCCAGCUUCUUCAACAUAGCAUCCACAUAGCAUCCUUGUUGGCCUUCUUUGAACCUGCUACAACUUCUUAAAAUGAGUGACCAUGACUAAAUGCAAAACUCCAGAUGUAGCCCGAUCAGUGCAGAACAUAGUGGGGCUAUUAUUUUCCACAAUUUGGAAACUAUGCUUGUAUUAAUGCAGGCUGUAUUUGGUGCAGCAUUUAUUUGUUUAAUUAUUAUUUAGAACAGUUGUAUCCCGUCCUAUUCUCAACCUCCGAAGAGGGACUCAGGGCGGCUUCCAACAAUAUAAAAACACCAAUAAAAUACACAA